rnacentral:rRNA from 1 species
UAUCGGAUUUAUUGGGCGUAAGAGCUCGUAGGCGGUUUGUCGCGUCUGCCGUGAAAGUCCGAGGCUCAACCUCGGAUCUGCGGUGGGUACGGGCAGACUAGAGUGAUGUAGGGGAGACUGGAAUUCCUGGUGUAGCGGUGAAAUGCGCAGAUAUCAGGAGGAACACCGAUGGCGAAGGCAGGUCUCUGGGCAUUUACUGACGCUGAGGAGCGAAAGCAUGGGGAGCGAACAGGAUUAGAUACCCUGGUAGUCCAUGCCGUAAACGUUGGGCACUAGGUGUGGGGGACAUUCCACGUUUUCCGCGCCGUAGCUAACGCAUUAAGUGCCCCGCCUGGGGAGUACGGCCGCAAGGCUAAAACUCAAAGGAAUUGACGGGGGCCCGCACAAGCGGCGGAGCAUGCGGAUUAAUUCGAUGCAACGCGAAGAACCUUACCAAGGCUUGACAUGUGCCAGACCGCUCCAGAGAUGGGGUUUCCCUUCGGGGCUGGUUCACAGGUGGUGCAUGGUUGUCGUCAGCUCGUGUCGUGAGAUGUUGGGUUAAGUCCCGCAACGAGCGCAACCCUCGUUCCAUGUUGCCAGCACGUAGUGGUGGGGACUCAUGGGAGACUGCCGGGGUCAACUCGGAGGAAGGUGGGGAUGACGUCAAAUCAUCAUGCCCCUUAUGUCUUGGGCUUCACGCAUGCUACAAUGGCCGGUACAAUGGGUUGCGAUACUGUGAGGUGGAGCUAAUCCCUAAAAGCCGGUCUCAGUUCGGAUUGGGGUCUGCAACUCGACCCCAUGAAGUCGGAGUCGCUAGUAAUCGCAGAUCAGC